CAGCUGGAGCUUUCCUUCUCCCUGUGGUCUUUUCCCAGUACCUCUGGCAGCUCUCCCCAAAGGACCUCUGUGAGACAAGUCUGAAAUAGCUUCCCAGGGGACGCACAGAGCCCACAGAUCUUUUUUCCGCUGCUUCCUCUACCCCUGUAUUUCACUCGACUCUCUAAAUUGACUCAGCUCUAGGAGAUAUGAUACAUUGGCCAACAAAAAUGGUAGAAAUUUCUACCGUUUUGCAGCUUACAAUCAAGUGAACUGAAGUGACCUUGGAACAUAACAAGACGUACCUUGGCAUGCUCACCUCUACUAGCAAGGGAGUUCAGAGGAACAGACCUGGAAAGUGAAGAUAAUGAGAGAGAUUCUGGCUGGUUUUGGGGUAGGAGUGAGCUUUGGGGACUUCCUGAAUUACACAGGAGAAACACACAAACACACACACACACAGGCACACACUUCGAACAGUUUAGCAAUACUAAAUGUCCAAUACUCUACAGCAUCUUAGACUCCCUUGCUUGGGGUUUUCUACCAACCUCUAUGCAGAAAUUCCACAGCCAGUAUCACCAACCAAAACUACUUCUUAAUGUUCCAGUGAGAGAGAGCCUGAAAUCUGCAGUGGUGUUGAGAGCCCAUCUGUCCUGCUGCAAAGGCCCAAGGAGGAAGAAGUUCCCAAGAGAGGUUCCAGAUGUCUCAAAUGAAUCCAAAAUCCAAUCAGAUGACCUAGGACUGUCAUCCAACUCAAGCAAUAAAGAAACCAGUAAUCACAGAUGACUGCCUGCCAGGUGCUUCGUGCAUUUUACACAGUAUUUUCAACAUGGGCUUUAAAGUCAGAAAAUGAGUUGGAAUUCCAGCUAUGAUCAUUUUUAGUUGUGACUUUGGUAAGAGUUUCAAACACAGUAUCUUCUACUAGUAUUAUUAUUGCUACUACCCUCCAACUGUUCCUUUUACUACGGUGAUGACUGUCUCAUUGAAUGCUAC
rnacentral:lncRNA from 1 species